UACGAAGGGGGCUAGCGUUGUUCGGAAUUACUGGGCGUAAAGCGCACGUAGGCGGACAUUUAAGUCAGGGGUGAAAUCCCAGAGCUCAACUCUGGAACUGCCUUUGAUACUGGGUGUCUUGAGUAUGGAAGAGGUGAGUGGAAUUCCGAGUGUAGAGGUGAAAUUCGUAGAUAUUCGGAGGAACACCAGUGGCGAAGGCGACUUUCUGGCCUGUUCUUGACGCUGAGGCGCGAAAGCUAGGGGAGCAAACGGG
rnacentral:rRNA from 1 species